rnacentral:rRNA from 2 species
ACAUGCAAGUCGAACGCGGAAGAAUCUCUCGGGAUUUUGAAGAGUGGCGAACGGGUGAGGAACACGUAAGAAUCUACCUUCGGUUGGGGAUAACUUCUGGAAACGGGAGCUAAUACCCAAUAUGCUGUGGAGUGAAAGAAUUUCGCCGAAAGACGAUCUUGCGUCUGAUUAGCUAGUUGGGUGGUAAUGGCACACCAAGGCGACGAUCAGUAGCUGGUCUGAGAGGAUGGACAGCCACAUUGGGACUGAGACACGGCCCAGACUCC